UACAGAGGGGGCAAGCGUUGUUCGGAAUUACUGGGCGUAAAGGGCGCGUAGGCGGCCUGUUAAGUCGAACGUGAAAUCCCCGGGCUCAACCCGGGAACUGCGUCCGAUACUGGCAGGCUUGAAUCCGGGAGAGGGAUGUGGAAUUCCAGGUGUAGCGGUGAAAUGCGUAGAUAUCGGGAGGAACACCAGUAGCGAAGGCGGCUCGCUGGGCCAUUCCUGACGCUGAGACGCGAAAGCUAGGGGAGCGAACAGG
rnacentral:rRNA from 1 species